AAGGUUCCGUAGGUGAACCUGCGGAAGGAUCAUUAAAAAUGGAGUGGCCGUUGUUUUGGUCACCAUUAAUAAUCCUACCCUUUGUGAAUUGUUUGUGUAAUAAUUUUUUCCAAUGAAAAAAUUAUUUGUCUAUCCUGAAGAAAGUAGAAUAUACUUUUUUUUAGGGAGUAGAUUUUAAUAAUUUUUUCAGUGAAAAGACCUUUUUUUAAAUUAAACUUUGUAUUCAUUGUCUAAAUUGUAAAAAAAAUAUUUAAAAACAACUUUGACAAUGGAUCUCUUGGUUCUCGCAACGAUGAAGAACGCAGCAAAAUGCGAUAAGUAAUGUGAAUUGCAGAAUACGUGAAUCAUCAAAUCUUCGAACGCAUAUUGCACUUUUUAGUUUACUAAAAAGUAUGUCUGUUUGAGUAUCAGUAAAAUAUUCUCAUAAAAGCGUUGCGCUUUUUAUGGUUAUGAGUGUUUUACAACGAUAAACAAGUUGUUUCACUUUAAAUUCAUUUUUUAAAGCCAUCCGUUUUGGUUUUAAAAUAAUUAAAAUUGGAUAAAAUUUUCCUGUAAAAAGGAAUAACUAUUUCAGUUUUAGUUUUUUUAAAUCCAAGGCCAAGGCCAAACAAAGGAAUUUUCAGAUACAAUCAACUUGAUCUCAAAUCAGAUAAGAGUACCCGCUGAACUUAAGCAUAUCAAUAAGCGGAGGAAAAGAAACUAACAAGGAUUCCCUUAGUAACGGCGAGUGAAGCGGGAAGAGCUCAAAUUUGAAAUCUUCAAGGUUCUACCUUGACGAAUUGUAGUUUAAAGAAGUGUUUUCUGUUAGUGGAGUGGCAAAAGUUCUUUGGAAUAGGACAUCAUAGAGGGUGAGAAUCCCGUAUUUGGUCAUUCCUCCUAGCUUUGUGAUACACUUUCAAAGAGUCGGAUUGUUUGGGAAUGCAGUCCAAAAUGGGUGGUAAAUUUCAUCUAAAGCUAAAUACUGGCGAGAGACCGAUAGCGAACAAGUACCGUGAGGGAAAGAUGAAAAGAACUUUGAAAAGAGAGUUAAACAGUACGUGAAAUUGUCAAAAGGGAAGCGUUUGACACCAGUGUUGUUGUGGAGAAAUCAAUUGUGUGGAACGGGUUGUUGUGGGGUUGAGACCUUAUCAGCUCUCCUUACUCUUUACCUUUUUCAUGCAAUGCACUUUCUCUUUAACAAGUCAACAUCAAUUUCUUUUGUUGUAAAGGGUCAGCGGAAGGUGGCUUUCUUUUCGGAGAAAGUGUUUAUAGCCGUUGAUCUCUACAAUCGGAGAGAUUGAGGUCUGCAGCGUAAUCCUUCGGGGUUAGAUACGUCGGUGCUAAGUUAUAAUCCUAUAUAGACAACUUGUUGACUAUAUCGAUCAUGUAGCUUACUCGCUGCGCUAUUUACCUACGCUUAGGAUGUUGAAGAUGUAGCACAUCAUUCAGACGAUGCGUCAUGGAAGUAAAGUCGUAACAAGGUAGCCGUAUCGGAAGG
rnacentral:misc_RNA from 1 species